AACAAGCAUGCAAGAGCUUGCCGCCACCCAAGUGGCUAAGUGCAGGACACCAGACGUGGGGAGACUGCCACCAAGUGUGUCACCAGAUCAUGCUGCUGUAUUUCUGGGAUGAACAGAGGUGAAGAGUGCAGUGUGUCAUCUUUGCGGGAUGCCAUAAAAAUAUAAUCACUCCCACUUUUUAAACAUAAAUUCAUCUUACUUUCCUUAAAAGAGUGUGUUAAUUAUUCUUGCUGUUUGGAUUGCUAUAACAUAAUACCACAGAGCAUAUCAUUUAUAAAGAGCAGAGGUGAACUCAGCUCAUGGUUCUGAAAACUGGCAUCCAGAGAAUGAGAACUCACUCACGUCAACACUGGUGUAUCCGAGGGUAUUCAUGUUUGUGUGUGUAUAGAGGGCUGUGCCUAUCUGUGCACAUGAUGAGACCAGAAGAACACAUGCAUUCCCUAGAGUUGGAGUUACAAGCAUUUGCAGGGCACCUGGCUUGUUAUUUGGGGACAAAGAUCCUGGCUCUGUCAAGAUAGCACAUAUUUGUGGACAUUCGAAAUGAUACUCUUUUGUACUUGUCACGGUUGUCUUUCGUCUCACAUUGUUGGUCUGCUGCUAGCAGGCAUGGUGUUUUUCUCAAUGGAAUGUUCUCCCAGCAAGAAUGGAAUCUUACACAUAAUAACAACAGAGAUUUAUCAACUCGAUGAAUCCAUCAUUUUUUCUUUCUUUCCUUCCUUUUUUUCUUAUUCUUUCUUCCUAAUAAAGAGAACCAGCAAUGGUUUACAGAAUAAAAACAUGGGCAUGAAU